CUCUGGGGAUGAUGAGCUCCAGCCCCAAGGCCUCUCAGGUGUGGAGGAUUCCCCACCCCAGGACCAAGGAAGGGGCUAUUUCUUCGAGCCUGACCUUGAUGUCGCUUUGCUGCCUGGACUCCUGGAGCUUUGAGCAAAUGCUUUACCCCUAAAGUAGACAUCUUCCAGCUUGAUUUUGCCUCCCUGGAAAAAAAGAGAACCUGCUGAAUGCGGUGGGGCUUGGAGAAGGUCUUGCCAUAGAAGGUGCUCAGUGGAUUCCUCCUGGAGGAAUGUCAUGUGGGUGUUACAGGGGGAGGUCACCUGGCUCAGCCAGCCGGGAAGGCAGAAGUUUUGCAGUGUAACAGAGGUGCGGGGUGUGGUGCCAGCCAGCACAGAUACAGCACAAUGUCACCUCUGGAGAAGAUGGCCUCAAUAAGCAGCUGGUCGCCGGUGACCCGCCGUCCUCCCACACUGCCCACUGAUGUCAGAGACGCUGAGGACGCAGUGGUGGUAGCCUGUUUUGACAUCACUGCCAGCGGCAUGCUCACGAGAGACCUGGAGAGAGAAAGUGAGCCCUACGCAGAGAAGAGAAUAUCCUUCCAGCCUUUUUUCUGCGGGACUGGGCUUUGAGCCAGACUUGCCUGACCCCAAACCCUUUCGCCCUCCGGCCCUGAGCUCCCUUCCCCUCCCCUAUUCAAUGGGAGCUACAAUGUCCACUCCUGAGGGGUGCAGUGAAGAUGAAAUGAAAUCGUGUCCUGGAAGCAAAGGGCAUUUUGAAAGCUUUUAUCAAAUGGGAGUUUCUUUCUGGAGGAGAAUUCAACCAUACGAUGAUGAUAAGAGAAAUAAACUCAUAAUGACCAUAAUGCUGCUGCUGCUUAUUUGUGUCUCAGAAAAAAAUGUCUAAGGCAUUGCCCUUGUCAUCGGGCAGCAGAGCGGCAGUCGGGAGGACCCCCGCGGAACAACGGGCAACAAAUAGCGCCUGCUGGGCACAGGCUGGAAUUAAGAGACAGAAAGGCCAAGGGAGGGUUUCCCACGGUCUUGGACUUCACAGAGGGUAGGCCCUGGGAUGUGGAGAUUUGGGUGGGCGGAAGGGAAAAGAUGUCCACGUGAAGGGAAGGGUGUCCCGGAGGUACAGAGCAGGAACUGAUGGGGGCCCUCAGCACAGCACUGCACCCAGCUCCCCUCGGGCACGCAGCCACUGGGAAUGGCAUAAGCAACCCCAGUCCUGAUGUUGUAAGACCUGCCUCAGUGUCUUUGUGCCUGUCACCAGUUCUCAAAACCCCACAGUAGGAGCAAUGAGGCCAGGUCCAGUGGCACAUCCUGGCAUGGGAAGACCAGGGGCACCCUGCAGACACUUCAGGCACAGACACUAUCACAGGUGCCGGUUUCUUGGUCCUCUGUCCUCUCCACUGGGCUUGGAAACCUUUCAGCUCCUCCCCUGCUCUGGCCUCCCUCAGGCUCAGAUAAGGAGCUAUUUUUGCUAUCCACCCCUCCCCCACCUGCCCCUCGGGUCCCCUGAGGCCUGAUCAGAGCUCUCAGAAGGGGAUUCCUGAAAGGCCCUGCACUUCAGGGGACAGCGAGGGGCCACCGGCUAUCAGUUAAGGAGAGGAUGGUGUGGAAGCAAGUGACUCAGAGGAGCCAACAAGAUGGAGAGGGAGAAAGAGGAAGAAACAGGUGCAGGGGAGAGAAGGAGUGGGGGUGGGGGAGCAAAAUGGGACCCGCAGGGGCCUGGGCAGGGAUGAGGAGAAAGCGGAAGAGGGCUGGAGAGGAGAGACAAGGAGGGAGGCAGAGUGCAGGCCCCCAGCAGCACCCAGGCUGAGCCCGGGACUGAGAGAUCACUGCAUGUGUGGGUGGCUGAGGCCAGACGGCAAGCCGCCCAGAUGCCCAGAACAGAGGGUGUCCUCAGCCCUGCCCCUGAGCACGAGGCCCUCUGAUGCCCUCCCCUGGGGCCCCCGGGCUCACAAGCCCAGCAAAGUAUCCGGAGAUGGCAGGGGUCAUGCAGAGGCUUUCUGUCCCUCCCCAGCCUGCCCUCCGUGGGGCUGGGCCUCCCUAGCUCUGGAUCUUUAGGGGUGUUGAUGGGGUGCAACAAGCAAGAAGUUCUGGGCCGAGAGAGAGGGAGCAGAAGGGAUGCAGAGGUCUAGAAGAAGGGGAUGUAGAGGGAUUCUACAGGAUUCUAAGGAAGAAGUGCUAAUUUUGAAAAAAAAUGAAAAUAGAGAUUUUUAAAACAUCGCGUCCCCUGCUAACUGGGGCUCCUAAGUACUAAACGGGGUUUACGACAGCAGCGUGUGUUUUGUGGGUUGGUCACAUUGUAGCUUAUCUGUGGAGCUGCUGACAGUAGAGGCGAUCAGGAGGGGUGAGGUCGUGAGUGUAUGAGAGUGUGCAGGAGGGUGUGUAUGUGAUGGUGAGUGUGUGGGGUGAGGCUGAGUGUGUGUGCCUGUGACUCCUCGGACUAGCCGUAGCAGGGUCCCUCACGGGCCUGAGACAGGGUUAGACGUGUCUGGCUGGGGGCUGUCCUACAGAAGUUUUGCUCCCCAGUCCCUGCAGCCGCUGAGGAGGACUCGCCCCGGGAAGGAGGUGGGAAACCGCACUCCCGACAUUAGGGGGAGAAGUGACCCGCAGCCCAUCAGGGGAGGGGACAGACAGCCCAGCCUGAUACUCUCCAAGCACUAGAAAGAGGACUGCAAAUAAAACGGAAAGAUGUUCCCUCAAAGACUCUGACCCCAUCCACCGUCGCCCCAGUCCAGGGCCCCUGACACCCCCGCUCCAAGCCGUUGGCAGCAGUGGCUGGUGGCGCCCAGUGGGGAGCACUGGGGAGGCGAAAACCCUGGUGGAAGCAUCUAGGAGUGGGGACAGGCAACGGGGGUGUGAAGAGUUGGAGAGGUUUGAGACCUUGUGAAAAGGAGGCACGGCAAAAAUAGAAGCCAGGGACGGUUUAUUGUGGUCUGUGUGCACGUAGCACGGAGACACUGGGGGAAAGUCAGGGACAUGCCAACGGGAACAAUUAAACGCUAUCCAUUGUUUUCACUAGACUAACAUUUACUGAACACAUAUUUGUCUGUGCCAGGCGCCGGGACCACUAAAAUGAACGAAACACAGGUCUGCCCAGUCCUUCGGAAUUCACCAUGCAGCUCAGGUUCUCAGUCUUCUUCAGAACACUCCACAGCCCACUGCACGCUCCUGGGACCUGAGACCACCCUGCCUGCAAGGACCCAGGUAAGGGCGCCGAGAGAGGCUCGAGAAGGAAGCAUGCUCUGGUUGGGAGAUCUCAAAUUCCCUGAUGACUGGAGAGGAGUCGUUGGGGACAAAAGGGAAAGGGAGGAGCUGACAUUUAUUCUGGGCUCAGUGUAUGCCUGGCGUUUUGUAGUUUCUAAUUUAAUCCUCACAUUCCUGGUCAUUUCUCUUUUGCAACUAAAGAUGUAUUCAUAGGACCAGAGGAGACGGCCCCUGAUGCUACUCUGCUUGUACCCUGGUUCUUCCGGUGGAUGUCCCCUUCCCAGUGAGCCCUUCCCUGACCACCAUGCUUAAAAUGGAAACCCUCCCCCAUGGCUUGGAACUCUAUUCCCCUUCUCUCCUUCCUUCUUUUCCAAAGCACCCUCAUCAAAUACAGUAAAAUAUUGGUUUGCAAGCAUAAGUCGCUCCAGAAACAUGCUUGUAAUCCAAAGCACUUAUAUAUCAAAGGAAAUUUCAAGAAUCAUUGUUGUGAUCACAUACUACUCAUAUGGCAAGACAUCACUUGUUUAUCAAGUUAAAAUUUAUUAGAAAUGUGUGUUUGUCUUGCAGAACAUUCGCAGACCAAGUUACUCGAAAGCCAAGGUUUUACUGUGUAUUAAAUAGGUCUCCCUCCCCUCCCAGAAUGUAAGCUCCACGAGAGCAGAUUUUUCCAGUCUGUUCUGUUUACUGACAUGUUCCCUGUGCCUGAAACAGAGCCUUGUACAUAUUGGUUGAAUGAAUUAAAGAUAAUAAGAAUAACAGCUAACAUUUAUUUUGUGCCUACUUUGCCCCUGGAACUGUUCUAAGUACUUUACGUAAGUUCAUUUACAAAAGUUCAUUUACGUAUCCUCGUCCUCAUAUCACCUCUAUGAGGCACAGAGCAGGCACAGAGAGGCUAAGUAACUUGCCCAAGGUCACACAGCCAGAGGGCAAGAGUUAUGAUCUGGUUGGCCUGAGUUCCUGGUGGAGGAUCUUUUGCACGCUCCACAGGUGUCCAUCACCCUGGCAUCUGCUCCUCUUGUGUGGCCCAUUGGUGGCACCCCUCCCACUCCUCUGUCACGCUGGAAUGUGAAUGUUUGUUUACUGCUGACGUGGCCCCUUCGAGGGCAGGGGCCAAUCUCCUUCAUGUUUGUUUCCUCAAUGUUCUGUACGGUGGCCAGCCCAUUGCAGGGCCUUCUCUCCAUUCUCCCAGCUGGGGUUGGUUUGUACUAUAAGCCUGGGGGGGGGGGGACGCACAGGUAUGGUCACUCCCCACCCCCAUUUUACCACUGAGGAAACAGGCUCAGAGAAAUACAGUGAUUUGUUGCAACAGGAAGAACAGACAGUAACCAGACUGCAGGCCACCUGCGUCAGUGCUUUCCUGGCCCCCGCCCCCUGGGGUGGGGAUCCGCACUAUAGAGCCCCACGGAUUCUGGCUGCUGCCCAAGGCUUUGGUGGGCACCUGUCUAACCACAUGUCAGAACUGGG